GACGAACGCUGGCGGCGUGCCUAAUACAUGCAAGUCGAACGAGAGCGACCGGUGCUUGCACUGGUCAAUCUAGUGGCGAACGGGUGAGUAACACGUGGGUAACCUGCCCGUCAGAGGGGGAUAACAUCCGGAAACGGAUGCUAAAACCGCAUAGGUCUUCGAGCCGCAUGGCUUGAAGAGGAAAAGAGGCGCAAGCUUCUGCUGAUGGAUGGACCCGCGGUGCAUUAGCUAGUUGGUGAGGUAACGGCUCACCAAGGCCGUGAUGCAUAGCCGACCUGAGAGGGUGAUCGGCCACAUUGGGACUGAGACAGGGCCCAAACUCCUACGGGAGGCAGCAGUAGGGAAUCUUCCGCAAUGGACGCAAGUCUGACGGAGCAACGCCGCGUGAGUGAAGAAGGUUUUCGGAUCGUAAAACUCUGUUGUUAGAGAAGAACAAGUGCUAGAGUAACUGUUAGCGCCUUGACGGUAUCUAACCAGAAAGCCACGGCUAACUACGUG
rnacentral:rRNA from 1 species